rnacentral:sRNA from 1 species
UCGUUCGUUUCAGUAUACGGGUCAGAGU